UACGAAGGGGGCUAGCGUUGCUCGGAAUUACUGGGCGUAAAGGGCGCGUAGGCGGAUACUUAAGUCGGGGGUGAAAGCCCGGGGCUCAACCUCGGAAUUGCCUUCGAUACUGGGUAUCUUGAGUUCGGGAGAGGUGAGUGGAAUGCCGAGUGUAGAGGUGAAAUUCGUAGAUAUUCGCAAGAACACCAGUGGCGAAGGCGGCUCACUGGCCCGGAACUGACGCUGAGACGCGAAAGCGUGGGGAGCAAACAGG
rnacentral:rRNA from 1 species